rnacentral:ribozyme from 13 species
UUUUUUUUUAUUUUGAUCAUUUUUUAUUCAUUAGGUGAAUCACCUAGAAACAAUAAACUAGUUACACCAGCUGG